UAAGCCAUGCAUGUCUAAGCACAUGCCUUAAUACGGUGAAGCCGCGAAUAGCUCAUUACAACAGCCACCGUUUACUAGAAAAUCAGUAUCCUACUCGGAUAACUGUGGCAAUUCUAGAGCUAAUACGUGCGAAAAAGCUCGUUUCGCAAGAUUCGAGCGCAUUUAUUAGAAUAAAAACCAAUCGGGCCCAUAAAGCCCGUAAUUUGGUGAAUCUGAAUAACUUUGCCGAUCGCACGGUCCUAGUACCGGCGACGUAUCUUUCAAGUGUCUGCCUUAUCCACUUUCGAUGSUAGGUUAUACGCCUACCAUGGUAGUAACGGGUAACGGAGAAUAAGGGUUCGACUCCGGAGAGGGAGCCUGAGAAACGGCUACCACAUCCAAGGAAGGCAGCAGGCGCGCAAAUUACCCACUUCCAGAACGGAGAGGUAGUGACGAAAAAUAACGAGACAGUCCUCUUCGAGGUCUGUCAUCGGAAUGGGUACAAUUUAAAUCCUUUAACGAGGAUCUAUUGGAGGGCAAGUCUGGUGCCAGCAGCCGCGGUAAUUCCAGCUCCAAUAGCGUAUAUUAAAGUUGUUGCGGUUAAAACGCUCGUAGUUGGAUCUGCGGCCUCGGAGAACGGUCCCCCGAAAGGGCGGUCACUGUUACUCCAAGCCUAAAUAUCUAGUCUACUCUACGGUGCUCUUAACCGAGUGCCUAGAGUGACUGGAACGUUUACUUUGAAAAAAUUAGAGUGCUUAAAGCAGGCGAAAUAGCCUGAAUAAGGUGCAUGGAAUAAUGGAAUAGGACCUCGGUUCUAUUUUGUUGGUUUUCGGAGCCCGAGGUAAUGAUUAAGAGGAACAGACGGGGGCAUUCGUAUUCCGGCGCUAGAGGUGAAAUUCUUGGACCGCCGGAAGACGGACGACUGCGAAAGCAUUUGCCAAGAAUGUUUUCAUUAAUCAAGAACGAAAGUUAGAGGUUCGAAGGCGAUCAGAUACCGCCCUAGUUCUAACCGUAAACGAUGACAACCAGCGAUUAGUCGGUGUUAAUAUACGACCCGACUAGCAGCUUCCGGGAAACCAAAGUUUUUCGUUUCCGGGGGAAGUAUGGUUGCAAAGCUGAAACUUAAAGGAAUUGACGGAAGGGCACCACCAGGAGUGGAGCCUGCGGCUUAAUUUGACUCAACACGGGAAAACUCACCCGGCCCGGACACCGUAAGGAUUGACAGACUGAGAGCUCUUUCUUAAUUCGGUGGGUGGUGGUGCAUGGCCGUUCUUAGUUGGUGGAGCGAUUUGUCUGGUUAAUUCCGAUAACGAACGAGACUCUGGCCUAUUAAAUAGUCGGUAUAUCCAGAAAAGUUUACCGUACUUCUUAGAGGGACAAACGGCGUCUAGCCGCGUGAAAUAGAGCAAUAACAGGUCUGUGAUGCCCUUAGAUGUCCGGGGCUGCACGCGCGCUACACUGAAAGAAUCAGUAUGCGCUUUAACCUAGUCCGGAAGGAUUGGGUAACCCGAGCAAAUUCUUUCGUGCUUGGGAUAGGGAAUUGCAAUUAUUUCCCUUAAACGAGGAAUUCCCAGUAAAUGCGGGUCAUAAGCUCGCGUUGAUUACGUCCCUGCCCUUUGUACACACCGCCCGUCGCUACUACCGAUUGGAUGACUUAGUGAGGUCUUAGGACCGACGUAAAGGAGCUUUCGCGAGUUCUUUUUCGUUGGAAAUUUGAUCGAACUACGUUAUCUAGAGGAAGUAAAAGUCGUA
rnacentral:rRNA from 1 species